ACUUACCUGAGUACUACGAAUAUUAAAUUUAAAACUCAAAGGGCUUGGCGGUGCUUUAAACUUUUUAGGGGAACCUGUCCCAUAAUCGAUAGUCCACGUUAGACCUUUCCUUUUUUUGCAAAAUUCAGUAUGUAUACCGUCGUCGUCAGGUAACUUUUAAAAAUAUAGAAGUUAGCAGUUAAAGAUUUAAUCUUAAACGUCAGAUCAAGGUGCAGCUUAUAGAACGGAGAGGAUGGGUUACAAUUAAAAAUCAUAAUUACGGAAAUAGGACUGAAAUAACCUAUUGAAGGAGGACUUAACAGUAAAAGAUCCUAUAAGAUCUUAAAAUUACACCACUCCG
rnacentral:rRNA from 1 species